rnacentral:rRNA from 1 species
GGAUGCGAUCAUACCAGCACUAAAGCAACGGAUCCCAUCAAAACUCCGAAGUUAAGCGUGCUUGGGCGAGAGUAGUACUAGGAUGGGUGACCUCCUGGGAAGUCCUCGUGUUGCAUUCC